UGGCUCUGGCAUCGAUGAAGAACGCAGCGAAAUGCGAUAAGUAUUGUGAAUUGCAGAAUCCAGUGAAUCAUCGAAUCUUUGAACGCACAUUGCGCCCGCCGGCAUUCCGGCGGGCAUGCCCGUUCGAGCGUCAUUUCAACCCUCAGUGCCACCCUUCCUUGGAGGGGCCGGCGCCGGUGUUGAGGCGUCCUCGGGCGCGGCCGGGCCCCUUGGGUCCAGUCGCCGCCGGGGGAGGCCUUCAAAUCGAUAGGCGGGUCUCUCAGGGCUCUCGGCGCAGUAAAUAUGCUAUCGCCAGGGGUUUUUCUGGGGGGUUCCCUGGCCUCUAAACCGUUCAGCCGAACACUUUUAAAGGUUGACCUCGGAUCAGGUAGGAAUACCCGCUGA
rnacentral:misc_RNA from 1 species